CCCAACUCUUGCUGCCUCACAGCCCUACACAUCCAAGGCUUGCUUUAAAUCUCCUAAGUCCUGAAGAAAAUGAAGACAGAAAGAACAGCACCUACUUUCAAGGAAAAGGAGGCCACGCCCCUCAGCGGCUUCAGGAGCCCAGACCUUUGGGGGCCCACCUUCCGCAGCUUUCCAUUGGCCCCACGGUGGAAGCCCGUAGGUUCAGGCCCUCCGAACACAGCUCGCUUUCCACACCAGCGGGGCCGUACCAGAGCAAGACCGUGUCUCACAAAAUAAUAAUAAUACUUAAAAAAUGGUAUAAUAGCAAGCAAAGGAAAUUCAAAUUGAGUCACAUUCUACAAAAUGCCUAACCAGACCUCUCCAAAACUGUCAAGGUCAUGAAAAACAAAGACUGAGGCACUGCCACAGACUAGAGGAGG